rnacentral:tRNA from 1 species
GCGCCCAUAGCUCAACUGGAUAGAGCGUUUGACUACGGAUCAAAAGGUUGUGGAUUCGAUUUCUGCUGGGCGCGCCA